ACAGCAGUCGCCACGGGAAUACGUAGGUGGCAAGCGUUGUCCGGAAUUAUUGGGCGUAAAGGGCUCGCAGGCGGUUACUUAAGUCUGAUGUGAAAGCCCCCGGCUCAACCGGGGAGGGUCAUUGGAAACUGGGAAACUUGAGUGCAGAAGAGGAGAGUGGAAUUCCACGUGUAGCGGUGAAAUGCGUGGAGAUGUGGAGGAACACCAGUGGCGAAGGCGACUCUCUGGUCUGUAACUGACGCUGAGGAGCGAAAGCGUGGGGAGCGAACAGGAUUAGAUACCCCUGUAGUCCCUGUCUCUUAUAC
rnacentral:rRNA from 1 species